rnacentral:tRNA from 1 species
CGUUCUAUGGCCGAAUUGGUAAAGGCAUCGCAGAUCCCAGGCGAGGUUGCAGGUUCGAGUCCCGCUGGAACGA